GAUGAAGAACGUAGCGAAAUGCGAUAAGUAAUGUGAAUUGCAGAAUUCAGUGAAUCAUCGAAUCUUUGAAAGCACAUUGCGCCCGCUAGUAUUCUGGCGGGCAUGCCUGUCCGAGCGUCAUUUCAACCCUCAAGCCCCCGGGCUUGGUGUUGGGGAUCGGCGAGCCUCCGCGCCCGCCGUCCCCUAAAUCUAGUGGCGGUCUCGCUGUAGCUUCCUCUGCGUAGUAGCACACCUCGCACUGGGAAACAGCGCGGCCACGCCGUUAAACCCCCAACUUCUGAACGUUUGACCUCGGAUCAGGUAGGAAUACCCGCUGAACUUAAGCAUAUCAAUAAGCGGAGGA
rnacentral:misc_RNA from 1 species